CCUACGGGUGGCAGCAGUGGGGAAUUUUGGACAAUGGGCGCAAGCCUGAUCCAGCUAUUCCGCGUGUGGGAAGACGGCCUUAGGGUUGUAAAACACUUUUGUAGAGAACGUAAAGUCUGUUGAUAAUAUCGAUAGAUGAUGACGGUACUCUAAGAAUAAGCACCGGCUAACUACGUGCCAGCAGCUGAGGUAAUACGUAGGGUGCGAGCGUUAAUCGGAAUUACUGGGCGUAAUGGGUGUGUAGGCGGUUUUACAAGUGGGAUGUGAAAGCCCCGGGCUUAACCUGGGAAAGCCAUACAUGACUGCAAGACUAGAGUGCGUCAGAGGGGGGUGGAAUUCCAAGUGUAGCAGUGAAAUGCGUAGAUAUUUGAAAGAACACCGAUUGCGAAGGCAGCCCCCUGAGACACAACUGACGUUCAUACACGAAAGCGUGGGGAGCAAACAGGAUUAGAUACCCUGGUAGUC
rnacentral:rRNA from 1 species